GAUGAACGCUGGCGGCGUGCUUAACACAUGCAAGUCGAACGGAAAGGCCCAAGCUUGCUUGGGUACUCGAGUGGCGAACGGGUGAGUAACACGUGGGUGAUCUGCCCUGCACUUCGGGAUAAGCCUGGGAAACUGGGUCUAAUACCGGAUAGGACGAUGGUUUGGAUGCCAUUAUGGAAAGUUUUUUCGGUGUGGGAUGAGCUCGCGGCCUAUCAGCUUGUUGGUGGGGUAAUGGCCUACCAAGGCGUCGACGGGUAGCCGGCCUGAGAGGGUGUACGGCCACAUUGGGACUGAGAUACGGCCCAGACUCCUACGGGAGGCAGCAGUGGGGAAUAUUGCACAAUGGGCGCAAGCCUGAUGCAGCGACGCCGCGUGGGGGAUGACGGCCUUCGGGUUGUAAACUCCUUUCGCUAGGGACGAAGCGUUUUGUGACGGUACCUGGAGAAGAAGCACCGGCUAACUACGUG
rnacentral:rRNA from 1 species